CCGCCGGCGACCGGCGCACGGGUGAGUAACACGUAUGCAACCUGGCCGUGACAGAUGGAUAACCGGGAGAAAUCCCGCCUAAUACAACAUAAUGCCGGGAGGGGACAUCCCCUGCCGGCCAAAGGGGGCGACCCCGGUCACGGAUGGGCAUGCGGCGCAUUAGGUAGUUGGUGGGGCAACGGCCCACCAAGCCGACGAUGCGUAGGGGUUCUGAGAGGAAGGUCCCCCACAUUGGAACUGAGACACGAUCCAAACUCCUACGGAAGGCAGCAG
rnacentral:rRNA from 1 species